UAUGUAUAUAUGUAUGUGUGCAUAUACAUAUACGUGUGUGUAUAUACACACAUACAUCAUACAGAUCCAUAUACAAACAUGCAUACAUA
rnacentral:miRNA from 1 species